rnacentral:rRNA from 1 species
ACCCGCUGAACUUAAGCAUAUCAAUAAGCGGAGGAAAAGAAACCAACAGGGAUUGCCUUAGUAACGGCGAGUGAAGCGGCAACAGCUCAAAUUUGAAAUCUGGCCUUUGGCCCGAGUUGUAAUUUGCAGAGGAUGUUUCUGGCGAGGUGCCUUCCGAGUUCCCUGGAACGGGACGCCAUAGAGGGUGAGAGCCCCGUACGGUUGGUCGCUAAGCCUAUGUGAAACUCCUUCGACGAGUCGAGUAGUUUGGGAAUGCUGCUCUAAAUGGGAGGUACACGUCUUCUAAAGCUAAAUACCGGCUAGAGACCGAUAGCGCACAAGUAGAGUGAUCGAAAGAUGAAAAGCACUUUGAAAAGAGGGUUAAAAAGUACGUGAAAUUGUUGAAAGGGAAGCGCUCAUGACCAGACUUGGGCCGGUUGAUCAUCCAUCGUUCUCGGUGGUGCACUCUGCCGGCUCAGGCCAGCAUCAGUUUGGCUCGGGGGAUAAAGACUUCGGGAAUGUGGCUCUCUUCGGGGAGUGUUAUAGCCCGUUGUGUAAUACCCUGGGCUGGACUGAGGUACGCGCUCCGCAAGGAUGCUGGUGUAAUGGUUAU